rnacentral:rRNA from 1 species
UCUGGAGGACAGGUGCUGCAUGGCUGUCGUCAGCUCGUGUCGUGAGAUGUUGGGUUAAGUCCGCAACGAGCGCAACCCUUGCCUUUAGUUGCCAGCAGUUCGGCUGGGCACUCUAAAGGGACUGCCGGUGUUAAACCGGAGGAAGGUGGGGAUGACGUCAAGUCCUCAUGGCCUUUAUGACCAGGGCUACACACGUACUACAAUGGCCGAUACAAAGGGCAGCGACACUGCGAGGUGAAGCCAAUCCCGUAAAAUCGGUCUCAGUCCGGAUUGGAGUCUGCAACUCGACUCCAUGAAGUUGGAAUCGCUAGUAAUCGUGGAUCAGCAUGCCACGGUGAAUACGUUCCCGGGCCUU